rnacentral:misc_RNA from 1 species
GAAGUGCGAUAAGCAAUGCGAAUUGCAGAAUUCCGCGAAUCAUCAGAUCUUUGAACGCAAAUGGCGCCGGAGGGAUCUCCUUUCGGUAUGUCUGUUUCAGUGUCUGAGAGGUUUCACAUAAAUCUUAAUGUGAUUGACGAAGGUAGGUGAAGGUUCUUCCUUACACCUCUCUAAGUCUCUCAUGAAAGAUGCGCAAGUGGAUCUUUCGGUCCAAUGAAGUGGUCACAUCACUCGCAUGUGAUUUCAUUGGAGUAAUAACCAAACCGAAUUAUCCGAAUACUUGUGGUUUUCUUCUGAAAUAAGCAAGAGUACCCGCUGAACUUAA